GAAAAAGUGAGAAUCAAAUAGAUUUUCACAGCUGAAAUAUUAUCAGGUUCAUGAUUGAAGAUGAAACUCGUGGGUUUUGUAGAUCCAGAAGGAUCAGUAUAUCUCGCAUUUGCUUCGUGUCCAGUUAUAGUUUUUGUUUACUCAAUGAAGAUGGUUGAUCAACAAGAGUGUUAGUAGGCUAUAUGUUGCAUGCAUGAUCUUAAACGUUUCUUGCUCCACUGAGAUGAUUUACCAGUGUGAGAUAGGAUCAGUUUCGUUCUUUUUGUUUCUGGACUAUGUUUAUGAACUGAAGGAUUCUAAUAAGCUUAACCUAUGUUCUUUGCUGCAGUACAUAAGGUUCAGAAAAGAAUGAAUAUGAGAACAUGGGAGAUAUGUUUUUUUCCAAAAUUUGUUGAUUCCUCUGCGGGCUCUUGAAUGUGGUCUUUUUUUCUUUCUCAUUUGGCUCCGGUGACCAGCCAUAUAGGUAAGCAUAUUUAAUCUAAACAGUUGUGAUAUAUCUAGGAUCUCUAUACUCGUACCAUCUUGUCUAUGUUGGCCUUGCUCGUAUAUUUUAUUUUCAGAUUAGUUUCAACGUCUGUAACAAUUGCGAUCAAUCAGAGGAACGAGAGUGGAAGGUCCCCCAGGAGUUCAAGAUGUUUCCUCUGAGAUCUGCUUCAAUGGGUGGUGGCGCAGCUAUAGGAGGAGGAGGAGGAGGGGAGAAGGAAAAGCCACAGUAAUAAUUUCAGAAGUCUUUAGAGUAUAUAUACAAUUCUGCCCUUAAAAUACAGCUUUGCCGCAUAAAAAGGACUCCUUGCUUCGGAC